rnacentral:misc_RNA from 1 species
UUUCCGUAGGUGAACCUGCGGAAGGAUCAUUAUUGGAUUUUGAAACUUCAGGCUGCUGCUGGCUCUCCUCGGAGGGCAUGUGCACGCUUGUUGUCCAUUAUUUCUCCCACUGUGCACAAAUUGUAGACCUUUCAGUAGGCCUAUGUUGUUUUUCACAAUCUCUGAAUGUAAUAGAAUGGUUUUGAAUCUUGGGAAAUACAAUACAACUUUCAGCAACGGAUCUCUUGGCUCUCGCAUCGAUGAAGAACGCAGG